rnacentral:misc_RNA from 1 species
GAUGAAGAACGCAGCGAAAUGCGAUAAGUAAUGUGAAUUGCAGAAUUCAGUGAAUCAUCGAAUCUUUGAACGCACAUUGCGCCCGCCAGUAUUCUGGCGGGCAUGCCUGUCCGAGCGUCAUUGCUGCCCUCAAGCCCGGCUUGUGUGUUGGGCCCCGUCCCCCGAUCUCCGGGGGACGGGCCCGAAAGGCAGCGGCGGCACCGCGUCCGGUCCUCGAGCGUAUGGGGCUUUGUCACCCGCUCUGUAGGCCCGGCCGGCGCUUGCCGAUCAACCCAAAUUUUUAUCCAGGUUGACCUCGGAUCAGGUAGGGAUACCCGCUGAACUUAAGCAUAUCAAUAAGCGGAGGA